GACGUAGGGCGCGAGCGUUGUCCGGAUUUAUUGGGCGUAAAGAGCGUGUAGGCGGCUAGGUAGGUCCGUUGUGAAAACUCGAGGCUCAACCUCGAGACGUCGAUGGAAACCAUCUAGCUAGAGUCCGGAAGAGGAGAGUGGAAUUCCUGGUGUAGCGGUGAAAUGCGCAGAUAUCAGGAAGAACACCCGUGGCGAAGGCGGCUCUCUGGUACGUGACUGACGCUGAGACGCGAAAGCGUGGGGAGCGAACAGG
rnacentral:rRNA from 1 species